rnacentral:rRNA from 1 species
GACGAACGCUGGCGGCGCGCCUAACACAUGCAAGUCGAACGAGCGAGAGAGAGCUUGCUUUCUUGAGCGAGUGGCGAACGGGUGAGUAACGCGUGAGGAACCUGCCUCAAAGAGGGGGACAACAGUUGGAAACGACUGCUAAUACCGCAUAAGCCCACGGUGCCGCAUGGCACAGAGGGAAAUGGAGCAAUCCGCUUUGAGAUGGCCUCGCGUCCGAUUAGCUAGUUGGUGAGGUAACGGCCCACCAAGGCGACGAUCGGUAGCCGGACUGAGAGGUUGAACGGCCACAUUGGGACUGAGACACGGCCCAGACUCCUACGGGAGGCAGCAGUGGGGAAUAUUGCACAAUGGGGGAAACCCUGAUGCAGCGACGCCGCGUGGAGGAAGAAGGUCUUCGGAUUGUAAACUCCUGUUGUUGGGGAAGAUAAUGACGGUACCCAACAAGGAAGAGACGGCUAACUACGUG